rnacentral:rRNA from 1 species
UGGGGAAUCUUCCGCAAUGGACGAAAGUCUGACGGAGCAACGCCGCGUGUAUGAUGAAGGUCUUCGGAUUGUAAAGUACUGUCAUUGGGGAAGAACGGUUUUCUUGAAAAGAUUGAGAAGACAUGACGGUACCCAAGGAGGAAGCCCCGGCUAACUACGUGCCAGCAGCCGCGGUAAUACGUAGGGGGCAAGCGUUGUCCGGAAAUUAUUGGGCGUAAAGGGCGCGUAGGCGGGCCUUUAAGUCCGGUGUGAAAGAUCAGGGCUCAACCCUGAGAGUGCAUCGGAAACUGGAGGCCUUGAGGACAGGAGAGGAAAGUGGAAUUCCACGUGUAGCGGUGAAAUGCGUAGAUAUGUGGAGGAACACCAGUGGCGAAGGCGACUUUCUGGACUGUAACUGACGCUGAGGCGCGAAAAGCGUGGGGAGCAAACAGGAUUAGAUACCCUGGUAGUCCACGCCGUAAACGAUGAGUGCUAGGUGUAGAGGGUAUCGACCCCUUCUGUGCCGCAGUUAACACAAUAAGCACUCCCGCCUGGGGAGUACGGCC